rnacentral:lncRNA from 1 species
AGCAUACAUUAUGCAGUACUAAUGUUCUAUAAUGAUAUAACACUAAAAAUAAUUAUAUUAAAGACUAAGCACAUAAAUUGUGGUAAAGCAGUUUCUUAUCCAUCUUGGAAGAUUCAGAUUCAAUUCAUAGUAGCAUACUUCAGUUUUUCUGGAAGGAUUCAAGUUCAGGUCGGGAAAUCUAAAAAUAAUCCUAAGUACAGAUUUACACAUGUUGAAUCUACAUAAGUCGGGGAUUGCCUGUACUUGAAUACCAGUUUAAUCGUUAGAAUUGUUCCUUAUAAACAUUUUUAAAAAUUAUUACUAUAGAUAAUUCUGAUUUACAUUUUAUAAUGCAGCUAAUUCUCUAACUAUGAAUCUUCAAAUUAUGAACUUUUGUACAUGGAAAUAAAUCAUUUAUUUUCAAAUUUUUGGAAAAUUCAAAAAUUUAAAAUUAUGAUAGUGUAAUAGCAUAAUUAUAU